CACUGAUGCUCCAGGAAGAAUACAAUGUCGAUAUUGCCAUACCAUGGUUGUGACGUCAACCGAAUCCAAAGUGGGCAUGUGCACCUGGUUAAUUUUUGGAGGCCUUUGCAUUUUCGGAAUCUGGCCCUUCUGUUUGAUCCCCUUCUGUGUGCCGUCUUGCCAGGAUGUGCAGCAUUCCUGCCCGACAUGCAACCAUGUUCUUUACGUCUACAAACGCAGCUAAAGCAUUGAAUCCUGCAUUGAGUGAAAUGUCUGCUGAACCUCUAUUAGGUUGGACUGUAAAUACAUUUAGUAUGUUUUCCCAAUGUGUUUUAACAAAUCAUUAAAAUGUGACAUAA